UACAGAGGUCUCAACCGUUGUUCGGAUUCAUUGGGCGUAAAGGGUGCGUAGGCGGUCGCGCAAGUCGGAUGUGAAAUCUCAGGGCUCAACCCUGAAACUGCAUUUGAUACUGCCUUGCUUGAGGACUGGAGAGGAGACUGGAAUUCACGGUGUAGCAGUGAAAUGCGUAGAGAUCGUGAGGAAGACCAGUGGCGAAGGCGGGUCUCUGGACAGUUCCUGACACUGAGGCACGAAGGCCAGGGGAGCAAACGGG
rnacentral:rRNA from 1 species